UACGGGGGGGGCAAGCGUUGUUCGGAAUUACUGGGCGUAAAGGGCUCGUAGGCGGCCAACUAAGUCGGAUGUGAGAUCCCCAAGCUUAACUUGGGAACUGCAUCCGAUACUGGAUGGCUUGAAUCCGGGAGAGGGAUGCAGAAUUCCAGGUGUAGCGGUGAAAUGCGUAGAUAUCUGGAGGAAUACCGGUGGCGAAGGCGGCAUCCUGGACCGGCAUUGACGCUGAGGAGCGAAAGCUAGGGGAGCAAACGGG
rnacentral:rRNA from 1 species